rnacentral:rRNA from 1 species
UGGGGAAUAUUGGACAAUGGGCGCAAGCCUGAUCCAGCAAUGCCGCGUGUGUGAAGAAGGCCUUCGGGUUGUAAAGCACUUUUAUCAGGAGCGAAACGCUGUCGGCUAAUACCCGGCGGAACUGACGGUACCUGAGGAAUAGGCACCGGCUAACUUCGUGCCAGCAGCCGCGGUAAUACGAAGGGUGCAAGCGUUAAUCGGAAUUACUGGGCGUAAAGCGUGCGUAGGCGGUUUCUUAAGUCUGCUGUGAAAUCCCCGGGCUCAACCUGGGAAUGGCAGUGGAUACUGGGAGGCUAGAGUGUGUCAGAGGGUGGUGGAAUUCCCGGUGUAGCGGUGAAAUGCGUAGAGAUCGGGAGGAACAUCAGUGGCGAAGGCGGCCACCUGGGACAACACUGACGCUGAGGCACGAAAGCGUGGGGAGCAAACAGGAUUAGAUACCCUGGUAGUCCACGCCCUAAAACGAUGCGAACUGGAUGUUGGUCUCAACUCGGAGAUCAGUGUCGAAGCUAACGCGUUAAGUUCGCCGCCUGGGGAGUACGGUCGCAAGACUGAAACUCAAAGGAAUUGACGGGGUCAUAGCUGUUUCCUG